rnacentral:rRNA from 1 species
UGGGGAAUCUUGCACCAUGGGGGCAACCCUGAUGCAGCGACGCCGCGUGAGCGAUGAAGCCCUUCGGGGCGUAAAGCUCUUUCGACCGGAACGAUAAUGACGGUACCGGGAGAAGAGGCUGCGGCUAACUACGUGCCAGCAGCCGCGGUAAUACGUAGGCAGCAAGCGUUGUUCGGAGUUACUGGGCGUAAAGCGUGCGUAGGUGGUUGUUUAAGUCUGAUGUGAAAGCCCUGGGCUCAACCUGGGAAUGGCAUUGGAAACUGGGCAGGUAGAGGGCGGUAGAGGGUAGUGGAAUUCCCGGUGUAGCAGUGAAAUGCGUAGAGAUCGGGAGGAACAUCUGUGGCGAAGGCGACUGCCUGGACCAGCACUGACACUGAGGCACGAAAGCGUGGGGAGCAAACA